UACAGAGGGUGCAAGCGUUAAUCGGAAUUACUGGGCGUAAAGCGCACGUAGGUGGCUGGGUAAGUUGGAUGUGAAAUCCCCGGGCUUAACUUGGGAAUUGCAUUCAAGACUGCCUUGCUAGAGUGUGGAAGAGGGAAGCGGAAUUCCAGGUGUAGCGGUGAAAUGCGUAGAUAUCGGGAGGAACACCUGUGGCGAAAGCGGCGCACUGGACCACAACUGACGCUGAGGCGCGAAAGCUAGGGGAGCAAACAGG
rnacentral:rRNA from 1 species